AGGGUUGCUGGAGGUAUCAGAAGUGCGAAUGCUGACAUGAGUAACGUUAAAGCGGGUGAAAAGCCCGCUCGCCGUAAGCCCAAGGUUUCCUGCUCUACGUUCAUCGGAGCAGGGUGAGUCGGCCCCUAAGGUGAGGCUGAGAAGCGUAACUGAUGGGAACAAGGUUAAUAUUCCUUGACCACCGCUGAAUGCGAAGGGGGGACGGAGUAUUGAAGAUCAUCCGGGUGUUGGAUAUCCCGGUUUGCGAGCGUAGGAGGCUGACAGGCAAAUCCGUCAGCGGAUCUCCGAGGCGAAGCAUCGAGCUCUCUUUUGAGCGAAGUGAUUGGAUGUGCUUCCAGGAAAAGCCUCUAAGCUCCAGUUCAGCGGGACCGUACCGCAAACCGACACUGGUGGGCGAGCUGAAUAUGCUCAGGCGCUUGAGAGAACUCAGGAGAAGGAACUCGGCAAAUUGACACCGUAACUUCGGGAUAAGGUGUGCCUUUGUAGCGUGGAGGGAGAAACACCCCGAGCGCGAAGAGGUCUCAGAUAAUCGGUGGCUGCGACUGUUUAUUAAAAACACAGCACUCUGCAAAGACGAAAGUCGACGUAUAGGGUGUGAUGCCUGCCCGGUGCUGGAAGAUUAAUUGAUGGGGUGCAAGCUCCUGAUCGAAGUCCCAGUAAACGGCGGCCGUAACUAUAACGGUCCUAAGGUAGCGAAAUUCCUUGUCGGGCAAGUUCCGACCUGCACGAAUGGCAUAACGAUGGCCACACUGUCUCCUCCUGAGACUCAGUGAAGUUGAAGUGUUUGUGAUGAUGCAAUCUCCCCGCGGCUAGACGGAAAGACCCCAUGAACCUUUACUGUAGCUUUGCAUUGGACUUUGAACCGAUCUGUGUAGGAUAGGCGGGAGCCUGUGAAACCACAACGCCAGUUGUGGCGGAGGCGUCCUUGAAAUACCGCCCUGAUUUGUUUGAGGUUCUAACCUGGGACAGUCAUCCUGUCCGGGGACCGUGCAUGGUAGGCAGUUUGACUGGGGCGGUCUCCUCCUAAAGGGUAACGGAGGAGUGCGAAGGUACGCUAGGUACGGUCGGAAAUCGUGCUGAUAGUGCAAUGGCAAAAGCGUGCUUGACUGCGAGACCCACAAGUCGAGCAGAUACGAAAGUAGGUCAUAGUGAUCCGGUGGCUCUGUAUGGAAGGGCCAUCGCUCAACGGAUAAAAGGUACUCUGGGGAUAACAGGCUGAUACCGCCCAAGAGUUCAUAUCGACGGCGGUGUUUGGCACCUCGAUGUCGGCUCAUC
rnacentral:rRNA from 1 species